UACGUAGGCAGCAAGCGUUGUUCGGAGUUAUUGGGCGUAAAGGGUGCGUAGGCGGUUUGGUAAGUCUGAUGUGAAAUCUAUGGGCUCAACUCAUAGUCUGCAUCGGAAACUGCCGGGCUUGAGUAUGGGAGAGGUGAGUGGAAUUCCUGGUGUAGCGGUGAAAUGCGUAGAUAUCAGGAGGAACACCUGUGGCGAAAGCGGCUCACUGGACCAUAACUGACGCUGAUGCACGAAAGCUAGGGGAGCAAACAGG
rnacentral:rRNA from 1 species